AGGGAGAGACCUGAAAAAUGCAAAGAAUGAAAGGACAGGGAGAGGGAGGAGGUGGGACAGGGUGAGAGAGGAGGGGGAAUAAGGAUGAGAGAAGGAGUGAUAUGUGUGGGAUACAGUGAUGGGGGGGACAGGAGAGAGAAUGGACUGAAGCAGAAUAAAGUAAAGGUUCUGAAGUGGCCAUCUCAGUCUCCUGACCUCAAUAUCAUUGAGCCACUCUUGGGAGAUCUCAAACGUGCAGUUCAUGCAAGACAGCCCAAGAAUUUACAGGAACUGGAGGCUUUUUGCCAAGAAGAAUGGGCAGCUUUACCAUCUGAGAAAAUAAAGAGCCUCAUCCACAACUACCACAAAAGACUUCAAGCUGUCAUUGAUGUUAAAGGGGGCAAUACACGGUAUUAAGAACUGGGAUUAUUCAAAUGCUCUACCCAACGUUCUCCAUUUAAUAAACCAACUUAAGGUAUUCUCAGGCCUUACUAUAAAUUGGAACAUGAGCAUUCCAAGGCACAUGGUUUUUACGGAGAGACUAUGCAGACAUUUCUACUGGGAUAGGCAUACCGUGUUGAAGAUGAUUGGAAGGCUGUAGAUGACAAAAUCAUGGUAACUGAAGAUGGCUUUGACAAAAGAGGAGAGAAUGGAGGUCAUUUUGAUGUCUGGAGAACGAAGUUUCCAUUUCAUAGCUGCAGAAUUUAACAACCGGCACCUAGAAAGACCUCCAAUUUCACAUAACACUGUCAGGUGCCUAAUUUCCAAAUUCCAAGAAACUGGGACUGUGGCUGACAAGUCACGGAGUGGUCAUCCAAAAAGUGCUACUGACAAGACAACCUCAACAAUGGUUUUGGCAUCCUUCGGGAAGAGCCCACAAUGCAGCACAACGCCCACACAUUAAAUGACUGUCCAUUAUGGAAAACAGGUCAGCCUGUAAUUUCAACAAAAAAAGUGUUAUAACUUUUGAACCAUUUCCAGCUGGAAGGCACCAGACAUUUAGGUACAUUAUGCAUGUGUACUCUGAGUCUUGCUGUGUGCUUGGUGUUGUCCGUUACACCAUGGAAGAACUGUAUAAGAUAAGCAGGAAGGUAGUAGGAGUUAAACAACUGUUAUCAAUUUAAUGAGGUGAUGGACAUAAAAGUCUUGACGCAUUUGAAUAAUUUGCUUGAAGGUGGGUACUAGGCAGCAAUACAGCUCUAUGCCAUGCAAUCCUUUAUCCAGAAACAAUAGUCUUACUUGAGGGUAUCCCCUGUUCUAUUGUCACUUGAAGCUCCUUUUGAGGAACAUGAUGCCUAAGGCAACACAGGUGGUAAAGGGUGGAGAUCAGACCUCUACAGUUUGACAUGCCAAGACUUCUAAUGCAAGGGGUUGAGCCGGGACUAUAUUAAGUGUCCUAGAGUAAAGAAAGUUACACAUUUUUUUAAGUUUUGGUCCAAGCUGUUGGUACGGAGGUGAAACUGGACACAAUCAUUGAACUUUUGAAAGGACAGCAGAUGUGCAUUAUCUAGAAGAAAUUCCAUGUUGCAUUUGGCCCACUCAUUGGGUAAAAUUCAAAUGUUUGAAAAGUCAGUUGGGUGUCUGUUUUUUCCUGUCUAUUAGAUAGAAAAAAAAGACUCCCAACUGUCUUUUCAAACAUUUGAAUCUCCCCCAUUAAAUGCUUUAUGGUCAAGGAUGUGGCAAAGUCAAGAUAGUGGGACAGUUGCUUAAAGAGUCCCUAUGUACAGUGCUCUGGGUAACAGAUACAUUAGUGGGGGCAGGGUCCUCCCCUAAGGCUUGUACUUCUCUAAUGGUAAGGGGGCUGUGGAAUGUUCGCCUGUAGAUGCAACUAGCAUUAUGCUGAAAAGAGCUGGGGUCCUAAAUACCUAUUCUGUGUAGAGUGUGCAGAAAUUAGGAUGCUUUGAGUCGCAAAAGUUAUUGUCCAAAUAAAAAAUAGAAUCAUCUGUCUUGA